rnacentral:rRNA from 1 species
UAAUACGGGGGGGGCAAGCGUUGUUCGGAAUUACUGGGCGUAAAGGGCUCGUAGGCGGCCAACUAAGUCAGACGUGAAAUCCCUCGGCUUAACCGGGGAACUGCGUCUGAUACUGGAUGGCUCGAGUUUGGGAGAGGGAUGCGGAAUUCCAGGUGUAGCGGUGAAAUGCGUAGAUAUCUGGAGGAACACCGGUGGCGAAGGCGGCAUCCUGGACCAACACUGACGCUGAUGAGCGAAAGCCAGGGGAGCAAACGG